CGUGUAGCAGUGAAAUGCGUAGAUAUGUGGAGGAACACCGAUGGCGAAGGCAGCCCCCUGGGUGAACACUGACGCUCAUGCACGAAAGCGUGGGGAGCAAACAGGAUUAGAUACCCUGGUAGUCCACGCCCUAAACUAUGUCAACUAGUUGUCGGGGAAGAAAUUCCUUGGUAACGAAGCUAACGCGUGAAGUUGACCGCCUGGGGAGUACGGCCGCAAGGUUAAAACUCAAAGGAAUUGACGGGGACCCGCGCAAGCGGUGGAUUAUGUGGAUUAAUUCGAUGCAACGCGAAAAACCUUACCUACCCUUGACAUGCUAGGAAGCCCGCAGAGAUGUGGGUGUGCCCGAAAGGGAACCUAGACACAGAUGCUGCAUGGCUGUCGUCAGCUGGUGUCGUGAGAUGUUGGGUUAAGUCCCGCAACGAGCGCAACCCUUGCCAUUAGUUGCUACAUUCAGUUGGGCACUCUAAUGGGACCGCCGGUGACAAACCGGAGGAAGGUGGGGAUGACGUCAAGUCCUCAUGGCCCUUAUGGGUAGGGCUUCACACGUAAUACAAUGGUCGGUACAGAGGGCUGCCAACCCGCAAGGGGGAGCUAAUCCCAGAAAGCCGAUCGUAGUCCGGAUUGUAGUCUGCAACUCGACUGCAUGAAGCCGGAAUCGCUAGUAAUCGCGGAUCAGCAUGUCGCGGUGAAUACGUUCCCGGGUCUUGUACACACCGCCCGUCACACCAUGGGAGUGGGUUUCACCAGAAGUAGGUAGCCUAACCGCAAGGAGGGCGCUUACCACGGUGGGAUUCAUGACUGGGGUG
rnacentral:rRNA from 1 species